UAGAGAGAGACAUGCGCGCAUAUCAAUAAGCGGAGGAAAAGAAACUAACAAGGAUUCCCUUAGUAACGGCGAGUGAAGCGGAAGAGCUCAAAUUUGAAAUCUUCAAGGUUCUACCUUGACGAAUUGUAGUUUAUAGAAGUGUUUUCUGUUAGUGGAGUGGCAAAAGUUCUUUGGAAUAGGACAUCAUAGAGGGUGAGAAUCCCGUAUUUGGUCAUUCCUCCUAGCGUUGUGAUACACUUUCAACGAGUCGGAUUGUUUGGGAAUGCAGUCCAAAAUGGGUGGUAAAUUUCAUCUAAAGCUAAAUAUUGGCGAGAGACCGAUAGCGAACAAGUACCGUGAGGGAAAGAUGAAAAGAACUUUGAAAAGAGAGUUAAACAGUACGUGAAAUUGUCAAAAGGGAAGCGUUUGACACCAGUGUUGUUUUUCCGAAAAUCAAUUACGAAUGUUUUAUUUUUGAGGAGUUAUGACUUCAUCGGCUUGCUCCUUUCUUUAUGAAACUUUCUUAAUGCACUUUUCGGUUAACAAGUCAACAUCAAUUUCUUUUGUUGUAAAAGGGUAUGAGGAAGGUGGCUUUCUUUUCGGAGAAAGUGUUUAUAGCCUUGUGCCUCUGCAAUCGGAGAGAUUGAGGUCUGCAGCGUAGAUCCUUCGGGGUUAGAUACGUUAGAUGCUAAGUUAUAGCUUUUCAUAGACAACUUGUUGACUAUGAUUUAAUCAUUGUAGCUUACUCGCUUGACGCUAUUUUACCUACGCUUAGGAUGUUGAUAGUCACAGCGUGUAC
rnacentral:rRNA from 1 species